UCGAAAUGGAAGACGGGCAGAUUGGU
rnacentral:sRNA from 1 species